rnacentral:rRNA from 1 species
AUUCUGGCUCAGAUUGAACGCUGGCGGUAUGCUUUACACCCGCAAGUCGAACGGCAGCACGGGGCAACCUGGUGGCGAGUGGCGAACGGGUGAGUAACAUAUCGGAACAUGUCCGGAAGUGGGGGAUAACGUAGCGAAAGUUACGCUAAUACCGCAUAUGCCCUGAGGGGGAAAGGGGGGGAUCGCAAGACCUCUCGCUUUCGGAGUGGCCGAUAUCGGAUUAGCCAGAUGGUGAGGUAAAGGCUCACCAUGGCGACGAUCCGUAGCUGGUCUGAGAGGACGACCAGCCACACUGGAACUGAGACACGGUCCAGACUCCUACGGGAGGCAGCAGUGGGGAAUUUUGGACAAUGGGGGCAACCCUGAUCCAGCCAUACCGCGUGAGUGAAGAAGGCCUUCGGGUUGUAAAGCUCUUUCAGCCGGAAAGAAAUCGUGCAGGUUAAUAACCUGUAUGGAUGACGGUACCGGAAGAAGAAGCACCGGCUAACUACGUGCCAGCAGCCGCGGUAAUACGUAGGGUGCGAGCGUUAAUCGGAAUUACUGGGCGUAAAGCGCGCGCAGGCGGUUUUGUAAGACAGACGUGAAAUCCCCGGGCUUAACCUGGGAACUGCGUUUGUGACUGCAAGGCUAGAGUGUAGCAGAGGGGGGUAGAAUUCCACGUGUAGCAGUGAAAUGCGUAGAUAUGUGGAGGAAUACGGAUGGGCGAGGCAGCCCCCUGGGCUAACACUGACGCUCAUGCACGAAAGCGUGGGGGAGCAAACAGGAUUAGAUACCCUGGUAGUCCACGCCCUAAACGAUGUCAACUAGGUGUUGGGGAAGGAGACUUCUUUAGUACCGCAGCUAACGCGCUAAGUUGACCGCCUGGGGGAGUACGGUCGCAAGAUUAAAACUCAAAGGAAUUGACGGGGACCCGCACAAGCGGUGGAUUAUGUGGAUUAAUUCGAUGCAACGCGAAAAACCUUACCUACCCUUGACAUGCCAGGAAGAUUUCAGAGAUGAGAUUGUGCCCGAAAGGGAACCUGGACACAGGUGCUGCAUGGCUGUCGUCGGCUCGUGUCGUGAGAUGUUGGGUUAAGUCCCGCAACGAGCGCAACCCUUGUCAUUAGUUGCUACGAAAGGGCACUCUAAUGAGACUGCCGGUGACAAACCGGAGGAAGGUGGGGAUGACGUCAAGUCCUCAUGGCCCUUAUGGGUAGGGCUUCACACGUCAUACAAUGGUACAUACAGAGGGCCGCCAACCCGCGAGGGGGAGCUAAUCCCAGAAAGUGUAUCGUAGUCCGGAUUGUAGUCUGCAACUCGACUACAUGAAGUUGGAAUCGCUAGUAAUCGCGGAUCAGCAUGUCGCGGUGAAUACGUUCCCGGGUCUUGUACACACCGCCCGUCACACCAUGGGAGCGGGUUCUGCCAGAAGUAGGUAGCUUAACCGUAAGGAGGGCGCUUACCACGGCAGGGUUCGUGACUGGGGUGAAGUCGUAACAAGGUAGCCGUA